GGUGCUCUGGAAGGGGGCGCGGCUGCCGCCUCCGAGGUCCUUGAGAUCGUUUUACUGCAAAACGCAACUCUGGUCACGCAGGGACCUGAGCGGACCACCUCGGCACUCUUCAAUUGGCCUCCCAGGACGGACUUCCGGCAAAGCCCCUGUGAGGACCCUGAAGCGUUUGCCAUGACAACCAUGGCGGGGCAAGUUCAAGCCGGGCCUCCUUUCUGCCUUGCCGGGCUUGGGGAUUGAGGGGCCUGGACCAAAGUCUGGAACCCGCAAUGUCCGCCACUGACCCUGGCGGAUGAUUGGACUGCCUUCGGUGGUACCUGAGAGGACCAGAAGAUGGUGUCAGAUCCUCGGGAGCUGGAAUUGCUGGCAGUUGUGUGUUGCCUGACAUCAUGAGUACUAGAAAGUUAACUCAGGUAUCUAUCUAUAAGAGCAGUAAGUGCUCUUAACCACUGAGCAGUGUCUCUAACCCAACAUGAUAGAUCUGUAUAUAUAAAUACAUAUAGAUAGGAAAUUAA